rnacentral:rRNA from 1 species
GACGAACGCUGGCGGCGUGCUUAACACAUGCAAGUCGAACGAAGAGCGAUGGAAGCUUGCUUCUAUCAAUCUUAGUGGCGAACGGGUGAGUAACGCGUAAUCAACCUGCCCUUCAGAGGGGGACAACAGUUGGAAACGACUGCUAAUACCGCAUACGAUCUAAUCUCGGCAUCGAGGAUGGAUGAAAGGUGGCCUCUAUUUAUAAGCUAUCACUGAAGGAGGGGAUUGCGUCUGAUUAGCUAGUUGGAGGGGUAACGGCCCACCAAGGCGAUGAUCAGUAGCCGGUCUGAGAGGAUGAACGGCCACAUUGGGACUGAGACACGGCCCAGACUCCUACGGGAGGCAGCAGUGGGGAAUCUUCCGCAAUGGACGAAAGUCUGACGGAGCAACGCCGCGUGAGUGAUGACGGCCUUCGGGUUGUAAAGCUCUGUUAAUCGGGACGAAAGGCCUUCUUGCGAAUAGUUAGAAGGAUUGACGGUACCGGAAUAGAAAGCCACGGCUAACUACGUGCCAGCAGCCGCGGUAAUACGUAGGUGGCAAGCGUUGUCCGGAAUUAUUGGGCGUAAAGCGCGCGCAGGCGGAUUGGUCAGUCUGUCUUAAAAGUUCGGGGCUUAACCCCGUGAUGGGAUGGAAACUGCCAAUCUAGAGUAUCGGAGAGGAAAGUGGAAUUCCUAGUGUAGCGGUGAAAUGCGUAGAUAUUAGAAAGAACACCAGUGGCGAAGGCGACUUUCUGGACGAAAACUGACGCUGAGGCGCGAAAGCCAGGGGAGCGAACGGGAUUAGAUACCCCGGUAGUCCUGGCCGUA